rnacentral:tRNA from 1 species
GUCAGGAUGGCCGCCGGUCCAAGGCGCUGCGUUCAGGUGCCAGUCUCCCCUGGAGGCGUGGGUUCAAAUCCCAUUUCUGACA